GACGAGGUGGCCGAGUGGUUAAGGCGUUGGACUGCUAAUGCUAUUCCCCGCAGUAAUCCAAUGUGCUCUGCACGCGUGGGUUCGAAUCCCAUCCUCGUCG
rnacentral:tRNA from 1 species